rnacentral:rRNA from 1 species
UACGGAGGGGGUUAGCGUUGUUCGGAAUUACUGGGCGUAAAGCGCGCGUAGGCGGCUUUGUAAGUCAGAGGUGAAAGCCCGGGGCUCAACCCCGGAACUGCCUUUGAAACUAGAUUGCUAGAAUCCUGGAGAGGUGAGUGGAAUUCCGAGUGUAGAGGUGAAAUUCGUAGAUAUUCGGAAGAACACCAGUGGCGAAGGCGACUCACUGGACAGGUAUUGACGCUGAGGUGCGAAAGCGUGGGGAGCAAACAGG